rnacentral:lncRNA from 1 species
ACCAAUCCGGCACGGCGGUUAGGGCGACAAGAUCCUCGCAGUCACCUUCCAUUCCCUUUAAUCGUGCAAGCUCCGCAUCCACAGUCAGGCCCCCAUCCUUGAGCUCGUUCAGGAGAUCGAUGUUGGCGGUCACUUCUUGUAUCCAGAUCUCAGCAGACACUUCCUUCUUCUUGCUCGCCCACCUAUCAUUCAAAGACUCAAGAACUUCCCGAUACUUUGUCG